GGGCGCGUAGCUCAGCGGAAGAGCACUGCCUUCACACGGCAGGGGUCGCAGGUUCGAACCCUGCCGCGCCCACCA
rnacentral:tRNA from 1 species